GAUGAACGCUAGCGACAGGCUUAACACAUGCAAGUCGAGGGGCAGCAUAAAAGUAGCAAUACUUUGGUGGCGACCGGCGCACGGGUGAGUAACGCGUAUGCAACCUACCUAUCAGAGGGGGAUAACCCGGCGAAAGUCGGACUAAUACCGCAUAAAACAGGGGCACCGCAUGGUGAUAUUUGUUAAAGAUUAAUUGCUGAUAGAUGGGCAUGCGUUCCAUUAGGUAGUUGGUGAGGUAAUGGCUCACCAAGCCGACGAUGGAUAGGGGAACGGGUAGGUUGGUCCCCCACACUGGUACUGAGACACGGACCAGACUCCUACGGGAGGCAGCAGUGAGGAAUAUUGGUCAAUGGGCGAGAGCCUGAACCAGCCAAGUCGCGUGAAGGAAGAAGGAUCUAUGGUUCGUAAACUUCUUUUGCAGGGGAAUAAAGUGGAGGACGUGUCCUCUUUUGUAUGUACCCUGAGAAUAAGGAUCGGCUAACUCCGUGCCAGCCGCCGCGGUAAAAC
rnacentral:rRNA from 1 species